GUGGAUUAGAUACCCUGGUAGUCCACGCUGUAAACUUUGAUCACUCGCUGUUGGCGAUACACUGUCAGCGGCUAAGCGAAAGCGUUAAGUGAUCCACCUGGGGAGUACGAUCGCAAGAUUGAAACUCAAAGGAAUUGACGGGGGCCCGCACAAGCGGUGGAGCAUGUGGUUUAAUUCGAUGAUACGCGAGGAACCUUACCAGGGCUUGAAAGUUAGCGACUAUAGGUGAAAGCUUAUAUCCCUUCGGGGCGCGAAACUAGGUGCUGCAUGGCCGUCGCCAACU
rnacentral:rRNA from 1 species